rnacentral:ncRNA from 1 species
AUAGUAGAAUUUAAGCUAAAAUUUUGUCUAGGAAAUAGGCAAAAGGGAAUUAAGCAGAUAGUAAAUUGUUAGUUUUUCCUAAGGUUUUGUUCAUUCACUAUAGCUGUGUGAAGCCCGGGGCUUCUCGGAGUCGGGUUGCUUGGGAAUGCAGCCCAAAGCGGGUGGUAAACUCCAUCUAAGGCUAAAUACCGGCACGAGACCGAUAGCCAACAAGUACCGUAAGGGAAAGUUGAAAAGAACUUUGAAGAGAGAGAUUCGUUCAAAAAGCUAAAAAGCAACUGUUGCCCGCAUUCUCCACCAGGAAUGUCAAUGGUUUACGGGCUGGUUCGGUCCGGUUCCGUGACUAGAGGGACUGAGGGAUCCGCGGAUCCGCGCCCCUGGAAAAGGAAAAUAGGGGACCUAGAAAGAAUU